rnacentral:rRNA from 1 species
UACGUAGGUGGCGAGCGUUGUCCGGAUUUACUGGGCGUAAAGGGCGUGCAGGCGGUUUGUUAAGUGCAGAGUGAAAGCUCCCGGCUCAACUGGGAGAGGUCUUUGUAUACUGGCAAACUCGAGGGAGGCAGAGGAAAGUGGAAUUCCCGGUGUAGUGGUGAUAUGCGUAGAUAUCGGGAGGAACACCUGUGGCGAAGGCGGCUUUCUGGGCCUUACCUGACGCUGAGACGCGAAAGCGUGGGGAGCGAACCGG